CGGCGUGCCUAAUACAUGCAAGUUGAGCGCUGAAGGUUGGUACUUGUACCAACUGGAUGAGCAGCGAACGGGUGAGUAACGCGUGGGGAAUCUGCCUUUGAGCGGGGGACAACAUUUGGAAACGAAUGCUAAUACCGCAUAAAAACUUUAAACACAAGUUUUAAGUUUGAAAGAUGCAAUUGCAUCACUCAAAGAUGAUCCCGCGUUGUAUUAGCUAGUUGGUGAGGUAAAGGCUCACCAAGGCGAUGAUACAUAGCCGACCUGAGAGGGUGAUCGGCCACAUUGGGACUGAGACACGGCCCAAACUCCUACGGGAGGCAGCAGUAGGGAAUCUUCGGCAAUGGACGAAAGUCUGACCGAGCAAACGCCCGCGUGAGUGAAAGAAAGGUUUUCGGAUUCGUAAAAACUCUGUUG
rnacentral:rRNA from 1 species